UAACUCUAUUUGUUGUGAUACCGUGGAUUUUUAUAUUUUUUUUAUGUUAUUUUUUGUAAAAUAUUUUGAUUUGUUUAUUUUUUUUUUUGGUAUCAAAAAUUUGUUUUUUGAACUGGAUUAGUACCCAGGUAAUCAAAAUUUAUUAAUUCGGGAGUAAAGUUUUGUUUAAACCGAAAAAAUAUUGACUGACUUUAGAUUUUUCUUUGGAAUAUGUGAUUUUGUUGGAGAGCCCUCUUUUUUGGUAAAUUUUGUUGGCACAUGUAUGAUUGUUUAGUUUUUAUUUUAUUUUGUAAUGCUUUUUUUGUUUUGGCAUUUAAAACAGAUAUAUAUUUGGUUUAUAAAUUUAUUUUUCAUGUGUUACUAUUAUAAAUUUUUUUUGGAUUAAUUUUUUAUUUUUUUUUGAAAUUGGAAAAGAAAGUAAUUUUUUCUUCAUGUUUUAAUGAAUUUAAUAAAUAAGGUGGUACAAACCAUCCGUCAAUG
rnacentral:rRNA from 1 species